CCAUCUAUGCUGAGCGCUUUGUCCUACGUGGAGUCGUUACACACAGGGAAGGCUCCGCCUCACUACCCUCGAUUUACCUGAGCCAGGUGAGCUUGUUGCCACAGGUGCCGACUCAAGAUGCAGAGUGGUGCGGGGGAGGGGGGGGGUGUUCUUGGGGAGGGUCAGUUCCAGUCAGCUGACCUGCACUGCCCCUCCCUCCAAAACCCACAGGCACGCUCCAUAUGAAAUCUCCUGUACGCUCAGAACUUCGGCACCGCCCCCUGUGCCUCGCAGCGAAUCAACGUGGAGCAGGCAGAUUCGACGGCUGUCCGUCACACUGGAACUGCCCCCUGCUCUCUGUGGCGGGACCCUCGCAGCUGGCGUUACCACGGGAGACAGUGGGGAGCGGAAUGUGGUCUGCUUAUUGUACAGGAACUUUUUGUGUCCAACAUUAUCAACUUAUGAGUGAAUGUCUUCAAAAUCACCAACUUAUUAUGAAGGUCAUAAGGGAGGAACAGUUCAGCACGCAGAUUUCAGCUAUAUAGUGGACACAUGGCCAGUUUAUGGACCAUAUUUACGGCACUGGACAGUUAACUUUUACAAUUUAUUUAAUCUACAUACAUCCACUGUUCUGAGUUUCCUCCCCCCCCCCCAAUUUAAAGUGCCUUUGCACCUGUACAGUUAAAAUUACUUCACUAUUCUAUGUAAGGUUGGUCAUUAUUAGUAUGUACAGAAAGGAAAGGGGGACUGAGUGGAUUUCUACUGAUUUUAAUAUCCUGCUUUUAUUUUAGGAUCCUGUUUGUGAAUUAUGUAACUGUACAUAGGUCAGCAGGCUGGAUUAACAUGUAUAUGCAUGUAUAUUUGCCUGACUGUAUGCUGUACAGAACAAAUGUGAAAUUAAUAUUUAUAUAUUACCUCUGGAAUGUGUGAGCUGUGUGUAUGUGUGUGUAUGUGCAUGUGUGUGUGUAAUUCUCACACUAAUUCACUUGCUUACCUGAUUCAUGAAAUUACUUUUGUGUAUUCCCAAACACCUGCACAAAAAUUGAUCGAUGUAAUCUUUCACAGAAGUUUUGUUAUGUUCUCCAAUAUGUCAGUAAGCAAAGAGGUGUUGCACACUGUGGGUUUUUCUCUGUUGCCUGUUUUGAAUGUCAUUUCUACAGGGUGUCACUGGCACGUUCAGCAAGUUGAGUUUUUCCACGUAGAAUGGGGAAUGUACCCCCUCAGAAAUGGAUGGGAGUUCACUUUGUACGUCUUGUUGAGGCUUGUAUGUGAAUUGGGAGAUCUGGUACACAGCUAUUGGUCUGUUAGUUUAGGGUUAGCACUAAAUGCACUUAUCAAGGUUAGGAUUGCAACCGAUGCAUGUGUUGCUGAGUUGUCGGUGAUGGGACACGGGGUGUGUGUGUGUGUGUGUGUGUGUGUGUGUGUGUGUGUGUGUGUGUGUGUGUGUGUGUGUGUGUGUGUGUGUGUGUGUGUGUGUGUGUGUGUGUGUGUGUGUGUGUGUGUGUGUGUGUGUGUGUGUGUGUGUGUGUGUGUGUGUGCGUGUGCGCGUGCAUGUGUGUGCAUGGGCGCUCAGACGCAAGCUGUGAACUCAAACAAUGUUAUACCUGGGAGAUGUGAAAAAACUUUUUUUUUUCUUUCUUCUUUUAAUGGGUUCAUUUUACUGGUGUUCAGCUGGGAGGGUUCGGCUGCUGUGGUCCCACAGUUUUUUUAGUCCUCGUUUUAAAAUUUGUUGUUUCUGAUUUAAACGCUUUUUUAAAUUGGUCUAUCAAAGAAACAAAAAGUGUCCUGAGGGAAAUGUUGGGAGAAGGGGAAAAAAAUGAGUGUGAGGGAAGUCUGUGUUCCGGCUGUUUUCUGUGAACUGUUGACCGCAGCUGGCCGUAGGGUGGAGGUCGGGUGGGUGUCCUCACUCAACUGUGGUUGUACUGCAGGGACAGGAAGUGACAUCAUCUGCUUGGUCACUCAGAGAAGCUGCAGUGGAGUAGUGUGUGUGCGAUGUGUACUGUGCAGAUGCUCCUCUGAUGUGCAUUACUGUGAAAAGCAGUGUCUGUUUAUUCUGACGUGCUCCUGUCCUGUCCCUCUCUCUCUGUGGUGAUGGGUGUCCAGUAUGUCAGUUUUAUAAUAAUAAAGUAAUUGGAAACAAGCUAAA